rnacentral:lncRNA from 1 species
AUGGAAAUGGUAGAACUGAUUCAAUUCCCCAAUGGAACUGGUUUAACUGGUUCAAUUCCCCAGUGGAACUGGUGUAAAUUGGUUUUGUUCUUUCCCUGCCCGCUAUUAAUAUGUAUAGAUAGAUGUUGCAAUCACUUGAAUAUGUACUUAACCAUAUACAAAAAUUGUAUAAAAACUGCUGAUUUUGUGUGUGAAGCCUUCAAGCAAAAUUUUCCGGCGAUAGCCGGCUUGCUCCCGGGGCCGUCAAUAAAUACCUUUGCUGCUCAAAGAACAAAAGCCUCUGGGGCAGUCCAUUAUUCCGGAUUUUGUUCCUUCACGCCUUUCCCCCCUCACAUUUCCCUCCAUUUUGUCCCCUCACAUUUCCCAUCCUUUUCCCCUCACAUUUCCCAUUUUCCCCCUCACAUUUCCCAUUUUGUCCCCUCACAUUACCCACCAUUUUCUCCCUUCACAUUUCCCUCCCUUUUCCCCUCACAUUUCCCACCAUUUCUUCCCCUCACAUUUCCCUCCCUUUUCCCCUCACAUUUCCCUCCAUUUUCCCCUCACAUUUCCCUCCAUUUCCCCUCACAUUUCCCGCCAUUUUGUCCCCUCACAUUUCCCUCCAUUUUGUUCCUUCAUGUUUCCCGCCUUUUCCCCUCACAUUUCCCUCCCUUUUCCCUUCACAUUUCCCUCCAUUUUCCCCUGACCUUUCUCCUUAUUUUCCCCUCACCUUUCCCUCCAUUUCCCCCUCACAUUUCCCUCCAUUCCCCCUCACCUUUCCCGCCAUUUUGUCCCCUCACCUUUCCCGCCUUUCCCCCUCACAUUUCCCUCACAAAUCCAUAAGGUAAGAUAACUUUCUGGGCAACAGCUGGGUGACCGGGGAGGUCGUGCCGGGGGCUUAUUUCUCUCCUCCUUCCUCCCUUUUUGGUUUGUUCAUUUUGUUGGCCACCUCUUGGUAAUAAAUAUCAGUUUUGUUGAGCUUGCA